rnacentral:lncRNA from 1 species
UAUUUACUUUUUUCGAUUAAAUUUUAUUUAAAGAACACCAGUUUAAUGUUUCUUGUUUUACUAAUGCAGUCCUACAUGUUCAUUUUGUUGUUGUUGUUACCCAAGCUUUUGGUGUCAUAACUAUGAAAUAAUUGGCAAGGCAAAUGUCAUGAAGUUCUUCCUCUGUCUUCCUUUAAGAGUUUUAAAGCUUCAGGACUUAAGUCUUUAAUCCACUUUGAGUUUAUGUUUA